rnacentral:lncRNA from 1 species
GUAGUGCUCAUGCAGGAUGGCCGGCGCGAGAGUGUGAGAGACGCCUUGUUGAUCUGGUCAUGUUUGGUGUCUUUCUUCCUUGUUUUGCUUCGUUGGUCGUCUUGGAUCGAGUUGGUAGUGGUCUGGUGGUGAAGUUGGUCGCGAACUCUGUUAAUUUCCUCUAGUUUGGCAUAUGAUGAACUUACUUUGGUGGUGAAAUUGGUCAUGAAAUUCUGUUGAUUUCCUCAAUUUGGCAUAUGAUGAACUGAUUUGGUGGUGAAUUUGGUCAUGAAAGCUUGUUGAUCUCCUGAAGUGUGGCGUGCUGGACGAAUCUAGUGAUGAAAUUGGUCAUGAACUGUGUUGAUUGUCUCAAAUUUGGCCUGAUGAGCCGCUUUGAUUAUCUUAAGCUAGUCUCGCCUGUCUAUCUUUUCUCCUCCUUGAUCUGUUUUGCUUUAAGCUUUCUGUAAAAAGCUGGGCAUUCAUGCCUACUCUCUGAAAAAUUGGUUGAUCUCCUCGAGUUUGACGUCAUGGAGUUGGUGAACGGGCAGUUACUGAUUGAUGAUUCUUGCUUGCUUUUUCGUGAAUUUUGUGUGGUUAUCCUUGAGUUUAACUUCUUGUAAGAACUGUAAAUGUUCCAGUUUGUAGUUGUCACAUGAGAUGGGCGUUUGUUUGUUUAUGUCCUGCUUUGUUGAUUUUUUCAAGUUUAAUGUGAUUACCUGAUUUGGUGGUUCCCUAAAUGUUUUGUGUUUGUCUUCGGUGUUUACUUCUUGUAAGAACAGUAACUGUUUCAGUAUGUAGUUGUAGCGCUAUGGGCAUUUGCUUGUUUAUCUGAUGCUUUGUGAUUUUAUUUUAGUUUUUGUUUUAUGCUUUGUGAUUUUAUUGCUGACAAAUUGACCAGAAUUGCGGUAUGCAGGCAACUACGCAAUGCACACAAAGAAAACUUCUGUUCCACUAAUUGGUUUUCAGUUUUACCCCAAAAAUGUUUUUGGGGUGCUUAGUUUUGCCCUUCUUCUGUUAAAUCACUGCACUUUGGUUGUGUGUCUGAGAUACAUUCUAAGGUUUUUUCCUUGGGUAAUCGGUGCAUGGGGCAUUAUGAACAUGUCACAAGUGGGAUCCACUUAAAAGAAAAAAAGAAAGAAAAAUGGCGAAUAAAUUGUCACUCACCUUUCACUUGACCCCCUUUGGUCCUCCUCUAGCAUGGCUCUCCUUUCUACCUUCACCUUGCCCACUUGUCUUGGAGUCUAUGCUCGACUCUAUAGUCCAAACGAGUGUCGACAACCACAUAACCUGAUGACUCUUCGUCCGGCCCAUGAGGAGGUGCAACGACAACACGAAGCGAGCCCCAUAGAGAGUGACCCUGCGGUAGCUUGCCUCGGCGAUGAGUCCAGACGUGGAGGAUAGCUCGUGACUCCAUCAACAAGAAGAGAAGGGAGAGGUGUGUGUUCACUGGUAUACCUUCGUUGUCAAUGCCGCCGCAAAAGGAAACAAGAUUUUACUGGCACCUCGAGCUACCUCAACAUCCUAACCUAAAACAGCGACAGCAAUAUGCUUCAUGGCUAAUCAUGGUACAAAUGCGAGCGGGGUCUCCUCUCAACAUUCACGAAGGCUACUAACUUGAACAUAAGCAUAAUAUAUCUGAUCGCUUAAAGGAAAUUAAUUCUUAUCGUAAGGAGUUCAUCCAUAUUCUCGAGAAUAAGUACAACUACUCAAACAUAAUGGCGGAAAACAUAAAGGAGAGGGUCAAGUUACAAGCCGACAUCGGGCCGGGGAAGAGAGAAGGCAUGGCGUCGCUGGUGGAGAUGAUGGUGACGAAGGCAACAUCGAUGAAGAUGGCGGUGAUGGAGGCGACACGGUGGAGAUGGCACUGGCCUAAAGGCCGGUGCGCGUGGUGGCGGAGGCUCCCCUUCUUACUUCUUGUAUUCGCCCUUCUUAUUCCAUCGAGGUCGUUUUGGAGCAGCAAUGGAGGUGUUGUGAUCUUAUCUUGGAUGAAUGAGGGCCUGAUGCCAGCAGCUAGGGUUGAAGGUGUAUAUAAGGGGCUUCUUCGGUUAUCCUUCGUAGAUGUGACUUCCUUCUCCUUAUUAUGCCCUCAUGCGACUUCCUUCUUCUUCUUCUUCUAGGGGAGCCAAAUCCUCUCUCAAAACUGUAACACCAUUGUAAUUAAGCUACAAUGAUUUCCCUCUAAUUAUGCCAAGUCAUCAUGUUUUGCAAAGCUUAAUUGCCACUUGUCCCAAAUAACAGUCAAAUUCAAAGUCAAAUUCUUGCAAGGCAAAAUAUUAUUUCUUCAAAUAGAGUUUUUUUUUAUAAUAUUACAAAUAAUACCUAAAUAAUUUUUUUAAGGAAAACAACACCACCCAACCCAAAUUUACCCUAGCAUCAAUUAAACAGGGCCAACAACAACUAUUUAAGCCAAUUAAAUAUAAAAAACUUAAACGUUUGCAAAUGACCUAAAACAUUGUGUGCCUUCUCAAAGUAUUGCAUUGUAAUUAUAUGACAAGUUUCAUAUUUAACUAAAUGCAUUUAGUGGCUUAAAUAAAUGCAAAACAGAAAAGAAAACAGAAACAGAAAAAAAAAA